GAUGAAGAACGUAGUGAAAUGCGAUAAUUAAUGUGAAUUGCAGAAUUCAGUGAAUCAUCGAGUCUUUGAACGCACAUUGCGCCUCCUGGUAUUCCGGGGGGCAUGCCUGUCCGAGCGUCAUUGCUGCCCUCAAGCACGGCUUGUGUGUUGGGCUUCCGUCCCUGGCAACGGGGACGGGCCCAAAAGGCAGUGGCGGCACCAUGUCUGGUCCUCGAGCGUAUGGGGCUUUGUCACCCGCUCCCGUAGGUCCAGCUGGCAGCUAGCCUCGCAACCAAUCUUUUUAACCAGGUUGACCUCGGAUCAGGUAGGGAUACCCGCUGAACUUAAGCAUAUCAAUAAGCGGAGGA
rnacentral:misc_RNA from 1 species